ACAACUGUGAUGCCCUUAGUAAUGGCGAAUGAAACGGGCGGAGCCCAGCGCCGAACCACUCGUUAGGCAUGUGGCGUUUUGGUACGGUCAACAUCGCGCGGAUUUAGUCCACCGGUUCCAAGUCCACCUUGACUGGGGCCACGACCCAUAGAGGGUGAUAGGCCCGUAGGACGGUGGAACGCCGCGCCUUUGUCGUUUCCCUCGAGUCGAGUUGCUUGGGAGUGCAGCUCAAAGCGCCAGGUAAACUCCUGGUAAGGCUAAAUAUGACCCAGAGACCGAUAGCGAACAAGUACCGUGAGGAAAAGUUGAAAAGAACUUUGAAGAGAGAGUUCAAAGUACGUGAAACUGUGCAGUGGUAAACGGAGGGGUCCUCGAAGUUGCCGCCGCGAGGCUCAGGCCCAUGGCGGCGCUCUGCGAAUUGUGGCGCGUCGAUAUCCUCGGCGUCGUCUCGUUUGUGUAUGGGGCGCCGUUGGUGGUCGCAUUCCUCUGCGGUGUCGUGCGACGAACCGCUCGCCGUGCACCGUGAUUCUGGCGAAGCGGUAGUGCCGAUUUUGGUCGGGGCUGCCGUUCCCGGAGUAAUCGGGCUGCGUGGUGGGCGCGUCUAGUGACUAGCGGUCUUCGUAUAGCGAGCAUCCGACUUUGCUGAUGCGGGCCGCUUUUCCGUCGCGAGUAGGUCGGCGGCCCCUCCGACCCGUCUUGAAACACGGACCAAGGAGUCUAACGUGUGUGCGAGUCAUUGGGUGGACUAAACCCAAAGGCGCAGUGAAAGCGAAGGGCGCCCUCGCGGUGCCUGAGGGGCGAUCUCGCCGUCGCGAGGCGGUGGGCGCAGCCCCCUCGCUUCGCAUCAACCUCGCAUUGUGCGGAGCAGAAAGAGCACACCCGUUGGGACCCGAAAGAUGGUGAACUAUGCCUGGCCAGGUUGAAGUCAGGGGAAACCCUGAUGGAGGACCGUAGCGAUUCUGACGUGCAAAUCGAUCGUCGGAGCUGGGUAUAGGGGCGAAAGACUAAUCGAACCAUCUAG
rnacentral:rRNA from 1 species